rnacentral:rRNA from 1 species
UACGUAGGGUGCGAGCGUUAAUCGGAAUUACUGGGCGUAAAGCGUGCGCAGGCGGUUCGUUGUGUCUGUGGUGAAAGCCCCGGGCUUAACCUGGGAAUGGCCAUGGAAACUGGCGAGCUGGAGUGCGGCAGAGGGGGGUGGAAUUCCGCGUGUAGCAGUGAAAUGCGUAGAGAUGCGGAGGAACACCGAUGGCGAAGGCAGCCCCCUGGGCUAACACUGACGCUCAGGCACGAAAGCGUGGGGAGCAAACAGG